rnacentral:lncRNA from 1 species
GUUGGAAUGGCUGGGAUUAAAUGGCAUUGAGAUAUGUGUAGUAAAUCUUAAGCUAACAUCAAAAUAAUAAUAAUCAUUGUAAUUGAAUAGAAUCCUUAUGGUCAUAACAUUUUUGGAUGUGUCCACACUAACUCCAAAUCCAUUAUAAUUGAAAUAGAAUCUUUCCCAGCAUGUGGACGAUGGUUGUCGAAACCCGAAGGGAGUUGCAG